rnacentral:rRNA from 1 species
UAGGGAAUCUUCCACAAUGGACGCAAGUCUGAUGGAGCAACGCCGCGUGAGUGAAGAAGGCUUUCGGGUCGUAAAACUCUGUUAUUGAAGAAGAACGUGUGUGACAGUAACUGGUCAUGCAGUGACGGUAUUCAAUCAGAAAGUCACGGCUAACUACGUGCCAGCAGCCGCGGUAAUACGUAGGUGGCAAGCGUUGUCCGGAUUUAUUGGGCGUAAAGCGAGUGCAGGCGGUCUUUUAAGUCUGAUGUGAAAGCCUUCGCUUAACCGAAGAAGGGCAUCGGAAACUGGGAGACUUGAGUGCAGAAGAGGAGAGUGGAACUCCAUGUGUAGCGGUGAAAUGCGUAGAUAUAUGGAAGAACACCAGUGGCGAAGGCGGCUCUCUGGUCUGUAACUGACGCUGAGGCUCGAAAGCGUGGGUAGCAAACAGGAUUAGAUACCCUGGUAGUCCAC